rnacentral:tmRNA from 1 species
GGGGGCGUUCCGGUUUCGACUAGAUAUUGGAAACGCUGGCUGCAUGUAGAGGUUGAUCGGUUGGCCUCUCAAAAAAGCCGUUCAAAACAAAUAAUUGCAGACUCUAACGAGCUCGCACUUGCUGCUUAAUUGACAGCAACGUUCCAAUCUUGAUGCCUGUUAGGGUGCGGGGCGACUACUUAGCAGGCUGGCGCAUCGAGUCGGGUAUCCGGGCAAGAUCGUGAGAAUCCACAGGAUAAUCGGAAAGAUGAACGGGCUGAGCGAGGCUCAUCA